GAUGAAGAACGUAGCGAAAUGCGAUAAGUAAUGUGAAUUGCAGUAUUCAGUGAAUCAUCGAAUCUUUGAACGCACAUUGCGCUCCCUGGUAUUCCAGGGAGCAUGCCUGUUCGAGCGUCAUUACAACCCUCAAGCUCUGCUUGGUGUUGGGCCCCGCCGCCCCGGCGGGCCCUAAAGUCAGUGGCGGUGCCGUCCGGCUCCGAGCGUAGUAAUUUUUCUCGCUUUGGAGGCCCGGGCGCGUGCUCGCCAUCAACCCCCAAUUUUUUUCAGGUUGACCUCGGAUCAGGUAGGGAUACCCGCUGAACUUAAGCAUAUCAAUAAGCGGAGGA
rnacentral:misc_RNA from 1 species